GAUGAACGCUGGCGGCGUGCCUAACACAUGCAAGUCGAGCGGCAGCGCGGGGUGCUUGCGCCCUGUCGGCGAGCGGCGGACGGCUGAGUAACGCGUGGGAACGUGCCUCAAAGUGAGGAAUAACUGCCCGAAAGGGUAUCUAAUACCGCAUAUUAUCUUCGGAUCAAAGGAUUUAUCCGCUUUGGGAGCGGCGCGCGUCGGAUUAGGUCGUUGGUGAGGUAAUGGCUCACCAAGCCGACGACCCGUAGCUGGUCUGAGAGGAUGACCAGCCAGACUGGAACUAAGACGCGGUCCAGACUACUACGGGAGGCAGCAGUGAGGAAUCUUGCAAAACGGGCGAAAGCCUGAUGGAGCAACGCUGGGUGCAGGACGAAGGCGUUCGGGUUGUAAACUGCUUUUAUAAGUGAGGAAUAUGACGGUAACUUAUGAAUAAGGACCGGCUAACUACGUG
rnacentral:rRNA from 1 species